rnacentral:rRNA from 1 species
AGCGAACGCUGGCGGCAGGCUUAAUACAUGCAAGUCGAGCGCCUGUAGCAAUACAGGAGCGGCAGACGGGAGAGUAACACGUGGGAACGUGCCCUUUGGUUCGGAACAACACAGGGAAACUUGUGCUAAUACCGGAUAAGCCCUUACGGGGAAAGAUUUAUCGCCAAAGGAUCGGCCCGCGUCUGAUUAGCUAGUUGGUGGGGUAAUGGCCCACCAAGGCGACGAUCAGUAGCUGGUCUGAGAGGAUGAUCAGCCUCAUUGGGACUGAGACACGGCCCAAACUCCUACGGGAGGCAGCAGUAGGAAUAUUGGACAAUGGGCGCAAGCCUGAUCCAGCCAUGCCGCGUGAGUGAUGAAGGCCUUAGGGUUGUAAAGCUCUUUCGGCGGGAAGAUAAUGACGGUA